rnacentral:rRNA from 1 species
UGCCAGCCGCCGCGGUAAUACGGGGGAUGCAAGCGUUAUCCGGAAUCAUUGGGCGUAAAGCGCCUGUAGGUUGUUUAAUAAGUCUGUUGCUAAAGACUAGGGCUCAACCCUAGAAAAGCAAUGGAAACUACUAAACUAGAGUAUGGCAGGGGUAGAGGGAAUUUCUAGUGUAGCGGUGAAAUGCGUAGAUAUUAGAAAGAACACCGGUGGCGAAAGCGCCCUACUGGACCAUUACUGACACUCAGAGGCGAAAGCUAGGUUAGCAACAGGGAUUAGAUA